rnacentral:snRNA from 1 species
GUGCUCGCCUUGGCAGCACAUAUACUAAAAAUUGGAAUGAUACACAGAAGAUUAGCAAGGCCCUGUGCAGAAAUCAAGCUAUGUCACAUGAAUCUUU